rnacentral:tRNA from 1 species
GCAGUCGUGGCCGAGUAGUUAAGGCGUUGGACUUGAAAUUCAAUGGGGUUUCCCUGCGCAGGUUCGAAUCCUGCUGGCUGCG